UACGUAGGGGGCAAGCGUUGUCCGGAAUCAUUGGGCGUAAAGAGCGUGUAGGCGGCUCGGUAAGUCCGCUCUGAAAGCCCGGGGCUCAACCCCGGGAGGCGGGCGGAUACUGUCGGGCUAGAGUCCGGAAGAGGCGAGUGGAAUUCCUGGUGUAGCGGUGAAAUGCGCAGAUAUCAGGAGGAACACCAAUGGCGAAGGCAGCUCGCUGGGACGGUACUGACGCUGAGGAGCGAAAGCGUGGGGAGCGAACAGG
rnacentral:rRNA from 1 species